rnacentral:rRNA from 1 species
ACUGGUCCAGACUAAGCCAUGCACGUCUAGUACAAACUAAAUGAUGGUGAACUGCAAAUGGCUCAUUACAACGGUUAUGAUGUACCCGGGAGUUCCGAUGGAUAUUUCCAGUAACACUAGAACUAAUACAUGUCCCUGCGUUUAUUAGUUUCGCACAGUCCGUCGCUGAGUCAUGGUAAACAGUUGAUCGACUCGACGUCCCGGAACAGUUUCCGCCCCAUCAGCUUCGAUGGUUGGGUAUUGGCCUACCAUUGCAACAACGGGUAACGAGGAAUUAGGGUUUGAUUUCGGAGAGGGAGCCUGAGAAACGGCUACCACAUCUACGGAUGGCAGCAGGCGCGCAAAUUACCCAAUGCAGACACUGUGAGGUAGUGACGAGAAAUAAUAAAGCGGGACUUCUGUUUCGCUAUUAUAAUGAGGAAUAACCAAAGGUCAUUCCGAUUAGCAACUGAUGGGAAAGUCUGGUGCCAGCAGCCGCGGUAAUACCAGCGUCAGUAGCA